CUAACAAUGAAGAUGAAGGGUAAGUAGACAUGCGUCAAGGACUUGCAGAGAGCCGGUGGUUGCUGUGAACCGGCGUCCCGCGUAUGAUUGAAUGGCCUUCGGAGUUGCUUUGCCGAAUCACCAUUUGGAUGUAGUAGGCAAAGCCGGGGUUCCUGCCGUUAUCACGGGAGCAGUAUCGAGCCGAAUGUUGGUGUCCGUACUGUCCAAGAGAAUUGCGAUGCUUUGAAUGAUGAGGCAGCUGCGAUUAAAUAAGGUGGUACCACGAUAACUUCGUCCUUUGC
rnacentral:ncRNA from 1 species